GACGAACGCUGGCGGCGUGCUUAACACAUGCAAGUCGAACGGCAAGGCCCUGCUUUUGUGGGGUGCUCGAGUGGCGAACGGGUGAGUAACACGUGAAUAACCUGACCUUGACUUUGGGAUGACUUCAGGAAACUGGGGCUAAUAUCGGAUAGGAGCUCCUGCUGCGUGGUGGGGGGUGGAAAGUUUCGGCGGUUGGGGAUGGACUGGCGGCGUAUUAGCUUGCUGGUGGGGUAGAGGCCCACCAAGGCGAUGACGGGUAGCUGGCCUGAGAGGGUGAUCGGCCACACGGGAACUGAGACACGGUCCAGACUCCUACGGGAGGCAGCAGUCGGGAAUAUUGGACAACGGGCGCAAGCAUGAUCCAGCCAUACCGCGUGGGUGAAGAAGGCCUUCGGGUUGUAAAGCCCUUCUGUUGGGAAAGAAAAGCAGCAGGUUAAUACCCCGCGGUUCUGACGGUACCCAAAGAAUAAGCACCGGCUAACUUCGUG
rnacentral:rRNA from 1 species